rnacentral:rRNA from 1 species
GUUGUAUGGUUAAGUGACUAAGCGUACACGGUGGAUGCCUUGGCAGUCAGAGGCGAUGAAAGACGUAGUAACUUGCGAUAAGCCCAGAUUAGGUAGUAACAACCAUUUGAGUCUGGGAUUUCUGAAUGGGGAAACCCACGUGCAUAAGCACGUAUCCUUACCUGAAUACAUAGGGUAAGGAGGCGAACCGGGGGAACUGAAACAUCUAAGUACCCCGAGGAAAAGAAAUCAACCGAGAUUCCGAAAGUAGCGGCGAGCGAAAUUGGACUAGCCCUUAAGCUUUACACGCGUUAGACGAACGGUCUGGAAAGUCCGACGAUACAGGGUGAUAGUCCCGUAGUUGACGACGUGUGUUCAGUGAAAUCGAGUAGGGCGGGACACGUGAUAUCCUGUCUGAAUAUGGGGGGACCAUCCUCCAAGGCUAAAUACUACUGACUGACCGAUAGUGAACCAGUACCGUGAGGGAAAGGCGAAAAGAACCCCUGUGAGGGGAGUGAAAUAGAACCUGAAACCGUGUACGUACAAGCAGUAGGAGCAGGCUUGUCCUGUGACUGCGUACCUUUUGUAUAAUGGGUCAGCGACUUAUAUUCAGUGGCAAGGUUAACCAUCUAGGGGAGCCGUAGGGAAACCGAGUCUUAACUGGGCGUUCAGUCUCUGGAUAUAGACCCGAAACCAGGUGAUCUAGCCAUGGGCAGGUUGAAGGUUGAGUAACAUCAACUGGAGGACCGAACCGACUAAUGUUGAAAAAUUAGCGGAUGACUUGUGGCUAGGGGUGAAAGGCCAAUCAAACCUGGAGAUAGCUGGUUCUCCCCGAAAGCUAUUUAGGUAGCGCCUCGGACGAAUACUACUGGGGGUAGAGCACUGUUAAGGCUAGGGGGUCAUCCCGACUUACCAACCCUUUGCAAACUCCGAAUACCAGUAAGUACUAUCCGGGAGACACACGGCGGGUGCUAACGUCCGUCGUGGAGAGGGAAACAACCCAGACCGCCAGCUAAGGUCCCAAAUUACUACUAAGUGGGAAACGAUGUGGGAAGGCUCAGACAGCCAGGAUGUUGGCUUAGAAGCAGCCAUCAUUUAAAGAAAGCGUAAUAGCUCACUGGUCGAGUCGGCCUGCGCGGAAGAUGUAACGGGGCUAAGUAGUAAACCGAAGCUGCGGCAAUAUACUUUUGUAUAUUGGGUAGGGGAGCGUUCUGUAAGCGGUUGAAGGUGUGUGGUAACGCAUGCUGGACGUAUCAGAAGUGCGAAUGCUGACAUGAGUAACGAUAAAGGGGGUGAAAAACCUCCUCGCCGGAAGACCAAGGGUUCCUGUCCAACGUUAAUCGGGGCAGGGUAAGUCGACCCCUAAGGCGAGGCCGAAAGGCGUAGUCGAUGGGAAACGGGUUAAUAUUCCCGUACUUCUUACAAUUGCGAUGGGGGGACGGAGAAGGCUAGGUGGGCCUGGCGACGGUUGUCCAGGUUCAAGUGCGUAGGCUGAGAGAUUAGGUAAAUCCGGUUUCUCUUAAGGCUGAGACACGACGUCGAGCACCUACGGGUGUGAAGUCAUUGAUGCCAUGCUUCCAGGAAAAGCCUCUAAGCUUCAGAUUGUAAGGAAUCGUACCCCAAACCGACACAGGUGGUCGGGUAGAGAAUACCAAGGCGCUUGAGAGAACUCGGGUGAAGGAACUAGGCAAAAUGGUACCGUAACUUCGGGAGAAGGUACGCUCUCGACGGUGAAGUCCCUCGCGGAUGGAGCUAUUGAGAGUCGCAGAUACCAGGUGGCUGCAACUGUUUAUUAAAAACACAGCACUGUGCAAAAUCGUAAGAUGACGUAUACGGUGUGACGCCUGCCCGGUGCCGGAAGGUUAAUUGAUGGGGUUAGACUUCGGUCGAAGCUCUUGAUCGAAGCCCCGGUAAACGGCGGCCGUAACUAUAACGGUCCUAAGGUAGCGAAAUUCCUUGUCGGGUAAGUUCCGACCUGCACGAAUGGCGUAAUGAUGGCCACGCUGUCUCCACCCGAGACUCAGUGAAAUUGAAAUCGCUGUGAAGAUGCAGUGUACCCGCGGCUAGACGGAAAGACCCCGUGAACCUUUACUACAGCUUGGCACUGAACAUUGACCCUACAUGUGUAGGAUAGGUGGGAGGCUUUGAAGCACGUACGCCAGUAUGUGUGGAGCCGUCCUUGAAAUACCACCCUUGUAGUGUUGAUGUUCUAACGUCGACCCCUUAUCGGGGUUGCGGACAGUGCCUGGUGGGUAGUUUGACUGGGGCGGUCUCCUCCCAAAGAGUAACGGAGGAGCACGAAGGUGGGCUAAUCACGGUUGGACAUCGUGAGGUUAGUGCAAUGGCAUAAGCCCGCUUGACUGCGAGAAUGACAAUUCGAGCAGGUGCGAAAGCAGGUCAUAGUGAUCCGGUGGUUCUGAAUGGAAGGGCCAUCGCUCAACGGAUAAAAGGUACUCCGGGGAUAACAGGCUGAUACCGCCCAAGAGUUCAUAUCGACGGCGGUGUUUGGCACCUCGAUGUCGGCUCAUCACAUCCUGGGGCUGAAGUCGGUCCCAAGGGUAUGGCUGUUCGCCAUUUAAAGUGGUACGCGAGCUGGGUUUAGAACGUCGUGAGACAGUUCGGUCCCUAUCUGCCGUGGGCGUUGGAAGAUUGAAGGGGGCUGCUCCUAGUACGAGAGGACCGGAGUGGACGAACCUCUGGUGUUCGGGUUGUGUCGCCAGACGCAUUGCCCGGUAGCUAAGUUCGGAAUCGAUAACCGCUGAAAGCAUCUAAGCGGGAAGCGAGCCCUGAGAUGAGUCUUCCCUGAUACUUUAAGUAUCCUAAAGGGUUGUCGGAGACUACGACGUUGAUAGGUCAGGUGUGUAAGUGCUGUGAGGCAUUGAGCUAACUGAUACUAAUUGCCCGUGAGGCUUAACCAUACAACACCCAAGGGGUUU